GACGAACGCUGGCGGCGUGCCUAAUACAUGCAAGUUGAGCGCUGAAGGUUGGUACUUGUACCAACUGGAUGAGCAGCGAACGGGUGAGUAACGCGUGGGUAAUCUGCCUUUGAGCGGGGGACAACAUUUGGAAACGAAUGCUAAUACCGCAUAAAAUCUUUAAACACAAGGUUUAAGUUUGAAAGAUGCAAUUGCAUCACUCAAAGAUGAUCCCGCGUUGUAUUAGCUAGUUGGUGAGGGAAAGGCUCAACAAGGCGAUGAUACAUAGCCGACCUGAGAGGGGGAUCGGCCAACUUGGGAAUUGGACACGGCCCAAACUCCCAAGGGAGGGAGCAGUAGGGAAUCUUCGGCAAUGGACGAAAGUCUGACCGAGCAACGCCGCGUGAGUGAAGAAGGUUUUCGGAUCGUAAAACUCUGUUGGUAGAGAAGAACGUUGGUGAGAGUGGAAAGCUCAUCAAGUGACGGUAACUACCCAGAAAGGGACGGCUAACUACGUG
rnacentral:rRNA from 1 species